UAUUAUGUUCCCCUCUUUGCUAUAUAAAGAGACAACUCAUUUUCACUUUUCAUAACAAGUUUCUCUUAUUGCUCCUCACUCUCUUGUACUCUUAAAUAAAUUAAGAUUUCGGUAAAAUAUUCAAGUGCUCUUCUUUGCUACUCUGCUACUUUGUUUUUGUUCGAAUAAAAGUUGGAUCAAUUUGUUUUCAUUGCUACUAUUUCUUUUCUGAUUAACCGGUUAGUAUUCUUAAUUAGCAUUUUACUAUUGGUCAGCCCUCUAUU
rnacentral:misc_RNA from 1 species